AUUGAACGCUGGCGGCAUGCUUUACACAUGCAAGUCGAACGGCAGCGCGGGCUUUGGCCUGGCGGCGAGUGGCGAACGGGUGAGUAAUACAUCGGAACGUGCCCAGUAGUGGGGGAUAGCUCGGCGAAAGCCGGAUUAAUACCGCAUACGACCUGAGGGUGAAAGCGGGGGAUCUUCGGACCUUGCGCUAUUGGAGCGGCCGAUGGCAGAUUAGCUAGUUGGUGGGGUAAAGGCCUACCAAGGCGACGAUCUGUAGCUGGUCUGAGAGGACGACCAGCCACACUGGGACUGAGACACGGCCCAGACUCCUACGGGAGGCAGCAGUGGGGAAUUUUGGACAAUGGGCGAAAGCCUGAUCCAGCAAUGCCGCGUGUGUGAUGAAGGCCUUCGGGUUGUAAAGCACUUUUGGCGGGAACGAAAAGGACUGUGCCAAUACCACGGUUCGAUGACGGUACCCGCAGAAUAAGCACCGGCUAACUACGUG
rnacentral:rRNA from 1 species